UACGAAGGGGGCUAGCGUUGCUCGGAAUCACUGGGCGUAAAGCGCACGUAGGCGGCUUCUUAAGUCAGGGGUGAAAUCCUGGAGCUCAACUCCAGAACUGCCUUUGAUACUGAGAAGCUUGAGUCCGGGAGAGGUGAGUGGAACUGCGAGUGUAGAGGUGAAAUUCGUAGAUAUUAGGAAGAACACCAGUGGCGAAGGCGGCUCACUGGAUCGGUACUGACGCUGAGGUGCGAAAGCGUGGGGAGCAACAGG
rnacentral:rRNA from 1 species